rnacentral:lncRNA from 1 species
GGUUGGAUCAGUUUCACAACUCCACCAGCAAUGAAUUAAUGUCCCUACUUUGCCACAUCCCCUCCAGCAUUCAUUACUUUCCUUUGCUGUUAUGUUAGCCAAUCUGCUAGGUGUGAGGUUGCCACAUCCCCUCCAGCAUUCAUUACAUUCCUCUACUGUUAUGUUAGCCAAUCUGCUAGGUGUGAGGUGAUACCUCAGAGUUGUUUUGAUUUGCAUCUCUCUGAUUAUAAGAGAUGUGGAGCACUUCUUCAUGUGCUUGUUAAUAGUUUUGAUUUCUUUAUCUGAGAACUGCCUAUCCAUUUCCCUUGCCCAUUUAUCAAUUGGAGAAUGGCUUGAUUUUUUGUACAAUUGAUUUAGCUCAUUAUAAAUAUGAGUAAUUAAACCUUUGUCAGAGGUUUCUAUGAAGAUUUUUUCCCAAUUUGUUGUUUCCCUUCUGAUUUUAGUUAUAUUGGUUUUGUUUGUACAAAAGCUUUUUAGUUUGAUGUAGUCAAAAUUAUUUAUUUUACAUUUUGUGAUUCUUUCUAUAUCUUGCUUGGUUUUAAAGCCUUUCCCCUCCCAAAGGUCUGACAUGUAUACUAUUCUGUGUUUACCCAAUUUACUUAUGGUUUCCUUCUUUAUGUUUAAGUCACUCACCCAUUUUGAAUUUAUCUUGGUGUAGGGUGUGAGGUGUUGAUCUAUUCCUAGUCUCUCCCACACUGUCUUCCAAUUUUCCCAGCAGUUUUUAUCGAAUAGUGGAUUUUUGUCCCAAAAGCUGGGAUCUUUGGGUUUAUCGUAUACUGUCUUGACGAGGUCGUUUUCCCCCAGUCUAUUCCACUGAUCUUCCUUUCUGUUUCUUAGCCAGUACCAAAUUGUUUUGAUGACUGCUGCUUUGUAAUAUAGUUUGAGGUCUGGGACUGCAAGGCCCCCAUCAUAUGUGUUUUUUUUCAUUAUUUCCCUGGAUAUCCUUGAUCUUUUGUUCUUCCAAAUGAACUUUGUUAUGGUUUUUUCUAAAUCAGUGAAGAAGUAUUUUGGUAGUUCAAUGGGUAUGGCACUAAAUAGAUAAAUAAGUUUGGUAGAUGUCAUUUUUUAUUAUAUUGGCUCGUCCUAUCCAUGAGCAGUUAAUGUUUUUCCAAUUGUUCAAGUCUAGUUUUAGUUGUGUGGCGAGUGUUUUGUAGUUGUGUUCAUAUAGUUCCUGUGUUUGUCUUGGGAGAUAGAUUCCUAGGUAUUUUAUUUUGUCUAAGGUGAUUUUGAAUGGGAUUUCUCUUUCAAGUUCUUGCUGCUGAGCUGUGUUGGAGAUAUAUAGAAA